ensembl:misc_RNA 7SK 7SK RNA
GGAUGUGAGGGCAAUGUGGCUGUGACAUCUUUCACCAACCUGAUGGCCAUGGUUGAUUGGUCCGAAUCUGACCGUCUAGGCAGUGUCCACAUCCUCCCUUUCACCUCUCCAUGUACAUCCUUCCCUAAGUGACAUGCUCAGCUAAGAGGAUGGGUUUCCUGAUAGAGGAGAACCCAUCUUUGUCAAGGUCAAGGAUGUAUAAGCAACUGCAUGUUCCUGGUGGAACCACCAAACAGGCUCUCAAGGAGCUAACUAACCUUUCCCAGCACAGUCCUGUAGCCCCAUGAAAAGCACUGCCUUCAGAGGUGAUGUCUUU